rnacentral:lncRNA from 1 species
UUAAUGUUACAUAUUUUUUGUUGAAUUUUUUUAAAUAAUUUUUGUAAAAAGAAAUUCAAAUAAAAAAUUAAUUUAAAUAUUUAUUCUUAAAAUAAUUUAAGUGUUUCAUUCUUUUACUAUACUUUUUCUGGAUAUUAAAAUUUUAAAAAAUCACUUAAAUUUGAAGUUAUUUUAAAUAACUUUCCAUAAAAGUUAUUUUUUAAAAUACAUCUUUUUUAUUUUUUAUUUAUUUUG